GACCGUGGGCCCGAGAACGCUCUUGAAUAAAAAUCCUCUUGCAAUUUGCAACAAGACCGUUUUCUCGUUGGUGAUUUUGGGGUGUCGCCUCUCCUGAGUCAGAACGUGGGGGAGUCCUCACGUUGUGGGUCUUUCAUUUGGUGCGUUGGCCGGGAAACGCGACCACCCCUCACACCCGAGAACCGACUUGGAGCUGUCCUUUUGGGCCGUAAGGACCGGAGGACUGUGGUCGGCAGACGUGCUAGGAGGACCACAGGCUGUGGCCCUGGGGGACGCCCUGGGAGCCUCGACCCCAGCCGCCGAGGGAACCCCAAACCCCUCGGGGCGUUGAGAGGCGGACCGCUGUGAGUACAUAGAGCCACAGCGACCCACAGAGCAGAGUCCGGGCGGACUCUGGUGGACCCGCCCAAACUUUAAACCCUUCAGUACUGGUCAUUUUCCUCUGCUGGUAUUUAUAACUGGAAAACUAACCACCCCCUUUCUCAGGAUCCCCAACGCCUCACAGGGUUGGCGGAGUUCCUUAUGUUCUCUCAUCAGCCUACUUGGGAUUACUGUCAACAGCGGUUACAGAUGCUUUUAACAACCGAAGAGCAAGAGAGAAUUCUGUUAGAGGCUAGAAAAAUAGCCUGGGAGCCAACGGGCGGUCUACACAGCUACAAAAUGAGAUCGACAUGGGAUUCCCUUUGACUCGCCCCAGUUGAAACUGCAACAUGGCUAAAGGUAGGGAGAGCUUAAAAAUCUAUCACCAGGCUCCGGUCUCCAAGGUGC
rnacentral:lncRNA from 1 species